rnacentral:rRNA from 1 species
GGUAAUCUACCCUAGGGUCAGGGAUAAUCCCGGGAAACUGGGAAUAAUACCUGAUAGGUGAAGAUGUCUGGAACGAUACUUCGCCCAAAGCUCCGGUGCCCUAGGAUGAGCCUGCGCCCGAUUAGGUUGUUGGCGGUGUAAAGGACCACCAAGCCUGUGAUCGGUACGGGUGUUGAGAGACAUAGCCCGGAGAUGGGGGCUGAGACACGGCCCCAGGCCCUACGGGGCGCAGCAGGCGCGAAAACUACGCAAUGCGCGAAAGCGUGACGUGGGAACUCCAAGUGCCUUGCCUUAGGGUAAGGCUUUUGUUUAGUGUAAGUAGCUAAACGAAUAAGUGCUGGGUAAGACCGGUGCCAGCCGCCGCGGUAACACCGGCAGCGCAAGUGGUGACCGCUUUUAUUGGGCCUAAAGCGUUCGUAGCCGGUCUGGUAAGUCUUUGGGUAAAUCCUUCAGCUUAACUGAAGGAAUUCCGGAGAUACUGCCAGACUUGGAGUUGAGAGAGGUCAGAGGUACCUCUGGGGUAGGGGUGAAAUCCUAUAAUCCUGGGGGACCACCAGUGGCGAAGGCGUCUGACUAGAGCAAGCUCGACGGUGAGGGACGAAAGCCAGGGCGCGAACGGAUUAGAUACCCCGGUAGUCCUGGCCGUAAACGCUGCGCGCUAGGUGUUGCAUGCUCUACGAGGCGUGCAGUGCGAGAGAGUGAUAGCUGCGCUGGAGUAUACGCAGUAGAA